CAGCACCGCGGUAAUACGCAGGUCCCGAGCGUUGUCCGGAUUUAUUGGGCGUAAAGGGAGCGCAGGCGGUUUAGUAAGUCUGAAGUUAAAGGCAUUGGCUCAACCAAUGUAUGCUUUGGAAACUGUUAGACUUGAGUGCAGAAGGGGAGAGUGGAAUUCCAUGUGUAGCGGUGAAAUGCGUAGAUAUAUGGAGGAACACCGGUGGCGAAAGCGGCUCUCUGGUCUGUCACUGACGCUGAGGCUCGAAAGCGUGGGUAGCGAACAGGAUUAGAUACCCCCGUAGUCCCUGUCUCUUAUACAC
rnacentral:rRNA from 1 species